AACGGACGCUGGCGGCAGGCUUAACACAUGCAAGUCGAACGCCCCGCAAGGGGAGUGGCAGACGGGUGAGUAACGCGUGGGAACAUACCCUUUUCUACGGAAUAGCUCUGGGAAACUGGAAUUAAUACCGUAUACGCCCUACGGGGGAAAGAUUUAUCGGGGAAGGAUUGGCCCGCGUUGGAUUAGCUAGUUGGUGGGGUAAAGGCCUACCAAGGCGACGAUCCAUAGCUGGUCUGAGAGGAUGAUCAGCCACAUUGGGACUGAGACACGGCCCAAACUCCUACGGGAGGCAGCAGUGGGGAAUAUUGGACAAUGGGCGCAAGCCUGAUCCAGCCAUGCCGCGUGAGUGAUGAAGGCCUUAGGGUUGUAAAGCUCUUUCACCGAUGAAGAUAAUGACGGUAGUCGGAGAAGAAGCCCCGGCUAACUUCGUG
rnacentral:rRNA from 1 species